CACAAAAUGACUCUCGGCAACGGAUAUCUCGGCUCUUGCAUCGAUGAAGAACGUAGCGAAAUGCGAUACUUGGUGUGAAUUGCAGAAUCCCGUGAACCAUCGAGUCUUUGAACGCAAGUUGCGCCCGAAGUCGUGAGGCUGAGGGCACGCCUGCCUGGGUGUCACA
rnacentral:rRNA from 1 species